ACUUAAACUUUUAGAUUUAAUUAUAUUUUUAGUAAGUUAAUUUUAAUUGAAGUAUAAAGAGUUUAUUAUUGUAAAAGAAUAAAUUUGUUUAUUUAUAGGGGAUAGUAUAGGGAUAGAAUAUUUAAAUGUUUAAGAAAGAAGGUUUAAUUUUCUGUACCUUGUGUAUCAGGGUUUACUAAAAAAAGUUAACUAUUUAGUUUUCUCGAUUUAUAAAGAGCUAUAAGUUUAUAUUUUUUAAUGUGGAAUAAUUAUUAUAAAUAUACUUAUAGAAAUGAAACGUUAUUCGUUUUAUAAUAUAUCUAGUUUUCUAAGAAAUUAAUAAAAUUUAUUGUUUAUUAACUAUUUUUGUGUAUGAUUACUUAAAUAUUAAUAGAUUAAAAUAAUUAAAGGGAUGAGCUUUUAAUUAAAUAACUAAAAUUUGAUUUUAAAAAAUAAUAAGUAGGAUUAGAAUUUUCUAUCUUUAAAAGAAUGUUAUAAUUAAUUAAUUAAUAGAAAUUAUUUAUUUGAAAUUUAGGUUGUUUAUUAGAAUAUAGGUUUAAAUAAUUUAGAUCUAGAAAUAAUGGUAAAAUUAGUAGAUUUAAAUGUAUGAAUUAAUGAAGUUGAAAGGUUAUAAUAAGGAAUUCGGCAAAAUUAUUUCUCACCUGUUUAUUAAAAACAUGGUCUUUUGACAAUUAUAUAAGAUUUGGCCUGCUCAAUGAUUUAAUUUAAUAGCCGCAGUAUUUUGACUGUGCAAAGGUAGCAUAAUCAUUAGUUUUUUAAAUGGAAGCUUGUAUGAAUGGUCGGAUGAGGAAAUAACUGUCUCAUAAUAAUUUUCAUUGAAUUUUAUCUUUUAGUUAAAAAGCUUAAAUUUAAUACAAAGACGAGAAGACCCUAUAGAGUUUCAUGAAAUAAAACAAAUAUAAAUUUAGGUUUUAAUUUUUUUUGUUGUAUUUUUAUUUGGUUGGGGUGACAGGAGAAUUGGAUAAACUUCUUUAUAUUUAAACAUUAAUUUAUGAUUAUUUGAUCCUUUUUUUAAGAUUAAAAGAUAAAAUUACCUUAGGGAUAACAGCGUGAUUCUUUCAGAGAGUUCUAAUCGAUGAAAGGGAUUGCGACCUCGAUGUUGGAUUAAAGUUAAUUUUUGGUGUAGAAGCUAUGAUAUUAAGUCUGUUCGACUUUUGAAACUUUACAUGAUCUGAGUUUAAACCGGUGUGAGCCAGGUUGGUUUCUAUCUUUUAUAGAUAAAAUAUUUUAGUACGAAAGGACCAAAUAUUUAAAUAAUAUUUUAUUGGUUGAAUAUUUUA
rnacentral:rRNA from 1 species